AUGUCAAUUUCUUUAGUAUCUCGAAAUAUAAGAAUUGCUUCACUGCAAUUUUGUGUGAACCAUGCUUAAAACAGGAAGUUCACCCGAUAGCAGUUCAGUCACAUCUUUUUUGUAGUUCUGACAGAAAUAAGUGAAGUUCAUUUUGAGUGGUAUGCUUUUAUCAUCUUGAAGUAUGCUACAGGACCGAUAGGACAUGAGUACAAUCUGGUAAGCGGCCUCCAAUAACUUCUUUCAGUUUUCCUAUACUUGCUGUGCAUGUGGCGGAGAUGCUGUAGCUUCUUACUGCUAUUAUUAACCAUGCUAAUCUCUGAAGUAAUGGUACUAAUUUCUUGGUGAUGCUUAGUUGAUUGCUCACUGAUGUUAAUUGUAUUCUAUUUUGCAGAGAAACUAAUAUGAUGUAUUUGUCUGGAAGUGCACAUUGGUGAAAAUAGGAAAUUCACUGUAUAUAUAAGUAAGGUGACCAACAGAAGCUCACAUUAUUCAUAAGGGCGGUUCACUUUGUAUUUUUCAGGGGUUCAUUUAGUUUGUCUGAUAGUUUCAGUUAAAAACACACCGUAAAAAGAACAGUUCAAAAAAAAAUCUGGAGUUCACUGUAAUUGCUCUGAUAAGUUCAUUUGGUACAGCAAAGGGGGUUCACUUUUGUCGAUAAAAGUAUCAAUUCAUCAUGCUUAAGUUAUCUUAUACAAAACGAUUUGCUCCUGCCCCAUUAUACUCCUACAUGAAUCUGCAUAAGUGAAGUUGUUAUCUUGUGAUGGGUCUACAUAUUUCAUUUUCUCACUACCUUUACUACUACUUGCAGCUUCCUAAUAUGGAGGUGUACAUCGAUCGGCAAUUUUCUGGAAAACUAGGAGAGAUACUGAUAAGGUAACAAUCCCAGCGUCAUGGGUCUCUUGUCAAGCAGAGCUAAGGCGAAAAGUUACUCGACGGGGACACGACCUGAUCCAGGUGUAGACUUUGUGAUGGAUACGUGAGUGUACUCACUUGGCCACCAGGUGCAUGUAUGUUACUAUUGCCAGAUUGAUUCCCAAGUGAUACAAUGUAGAGUCGACAGAGGUCGGUUGAUCAGGUCAAUGCAGGGAGGGAGGCAUGAUCAGUCCAGGUCAACAAGACAAGAAAUCAUGUGCAUAUGCAGGGCGUAGGCACAUGCAUCAUUGUUUGAUCAUAUAUGCAAGUGGAUAUUGAAUGAGUAUUGUAUCUAGCAGACAUGGGGCAUGAAAUUGCGGUUCAGGAGAACUGGUGUGGGUUGUUUGGCAAGUUUUUUCCCUUUCAUUUAUAUUUUCC